rnacentral:sRNA from 1 species
GCAACAACUAAAGGGUGUGCUGGAAAG